rnacentral:rRNA from 1 species
UACGAAGGGGGCUAGCGUUGCUCGGAAUGACUGGGCGUAAAGGGCGCGUAGGCGGAUGGCACAGUCAGAUGUGAAAUUCCUGGGCUUAACCUGGGGGCUGCAUUUGAGACGUGUGAUCUGGAGUGAGGAAGAGGGUUGUGGAAUUCCCAGUGUAGAGGUGAAAUUCGUAGAUAUUGGGAAGAACACCAGUGGCGAAGGCGGCUUACUGGUCCGGAACUGACGCUGAGGUGCGAAAGCGUGGGGAGCAAACAGG